UGUCUCAGUUCGGCAGCUGCAGUGGCCAAGGUAGGAGAUGAACACUGAAAGGUCCUCUAGAGCCAAGUUCAAAUAUAUGCAAAUGAGCGCUCUCAUUGGCCAGCAGGGACGGCUCGGGGAGUGCUGAGGACGCCAGUCCCGAAGUCCAGACGGCCGUAGCAGCUCUGCCCACAGCUCGAGACGCCCCCUCCCGCAGCCCAGCCCAGACUCCAGAGCAGCUGACCACGCGGGCCACGUGACAAGCCCCAAGCCCGGCGCUAAUUGGCUGCCAAAUCCUCGCGGCCUCCCUCCGACUGUUUCCCAGAAAUAUUUUGGAAACUACGUUUCCCAGAGGGUCUUGCGACGCUGAUUUCUUUCUGCUUUAUUCCUACGGGGCGGGGUGUGAGGUACCGAGCUCGCUCUCUGUCCUUCCGGGGUGGGGGGUGGGUUCGGUAAGCUCUGCCCCGGGAGGGCGAGACCUCCGGGUGUGAAAGAAAAUAUCCCGCGCUGUGGAGGAGGGGGCAGCGAGCCGCCGCCGGGCCGCCCUCUUUACACAGAGGCCCCUGGGAGGUGCAGUAAAUUGAAGUCGAGCCCCUCCAAGUUCAACUUGCGGGAGCUCGAGCCGCCCCGGCCCUCGGGGGUCGCGGGUGCGGUGGAAGUUCUAGAGGGAAGCGGAGGGACCAGGUGGGCCUUCCACACCUGCCCUGCCCCACCUCCCGGCGGCGCCGCGCCCGAGCGUCUAUGCCUCUGCCUCCGGGUUAUCACCAGCCGGAAUGUCCCUUCUACAGUGUAGUCCUGAGAGUUUUCCAAGCUUAGGUUUCGAUCAAGCGAAUCUUUGAGAGAUCUGAGAAGCUGGGGGCGCUAUUUCAAAAGAAACAUGAUGACGGCCCUACAUUAUUUCCCCAGCUCUUGCUUCUCAUCGGACACUUUUAAGUGGUGCAAAGAGUCACGGCGUCCGGAGUGUGGGGGAUCUAUUUUAUGUUGGGACUUGCCGCGGGCACUGACUUUUCGCCCUCAGGGGGCGCCCGCGGGGCUUCUCACUUUCCUCAGCGGAUAGCUGCCCCUGUUCUGGGCGACCCUCCUCUGGCCUUCUUGUUUCUGCCUUGGAGGAUGUUCCUGCUGCCCAGCUUGCUGGGGCUGGAGCUCUCUCAGCUACUGCAGUUGGCUUCUAGGAUCCCUCGCCAUCAUCGUGGACUAAUGGCCUUUGCCAUCCAGUGGAGGUUAAUGACACCAGUGUUUCAUAAACCAUCUCUUCCAUCCUGACCCUUUGUGGGUGUGUCAAGGGGCAACUGCAAAACCACUGUGCAGAGUGGCUUGCAGGAUCUUUGUUCCCCAAUCAAGGGACUGAACCCAGGCCGUGGCAAUGAAAGCCCAGAAUCCUAACCACUGGACCUCCAGGGAACUCCCAAGAAAUGUUUAUGUCUUGAUCCGUGUGGUGGCUACCUGGAUGUACACAUAGAUAAAAAUUCGCUGGCCCCUAAGACUUGUGCCCCUUAUUUAUGUCUUCAUAACGAAGUAUAUAAUACAUGACAAACUCUGAUUGAGCAACACUGUUAACUACUUACUUUAAUGCUAGACUCUGCUGUCAUCUCCUGAGCUGCAGUCUUCCGUCAUCUCUAUCAUGGGUUACCUGACUCAGUUUCCCUGAUGCAUCCUAGUUCUUUGCUGGAUCUGAGUGCAGCUCUGCUAGUGUCCCUUCCUGGGGGAGGGCCUGGGAUUUUCUGCCUCCAGCCACUGGCUGGGCUCCAUUCAUGGGGAUCCUGUUUGUUCCUUGUUUUUUGUUUCCCCCUGUAACUGACAUUUGUUGUAGUUAUCUAAAGCCCUGAAAGAGAAAUUAAAA